rfam:Triticum aestivum genome assembly, contig: Triticum_aestivum_CS42_TGACv1_scaffold_161043_2DL
CAUCUACUCCCUCCGUUCGGAAUUACUUGUCACAAAAAUGGAUAGAAAUUGAUGUAUCUGUAGCUAAAAUACAUCUAGAUACAUUCAUUUCUUGGACGAGUAAUUCCGAACGGAGGGAGUAGAUG